rnacentral:lncRNA from 1 species
UUCACCAACAGCUCCUCCGUGCCUGCUGCUGUGCCCCCUUCUGCACUCCCAGAAUCGGGAGCAGAGGUCAGUGAAGAGAGCUGGCAGCCAGUGGUGAGUCUCCUCAGGGGCCUGCAGGUCCCAGCCAGACCCGCUGUUCCUUCAGCAGGUGUUCUAGCACUUGCCGGGCUCACUUGGCCUCCCACUUAAGACUGGCUUUGAUAUCACUGACAGUCACGUAGCCAUUUUUCUCUGCCAGCUGCAGCACCACAGUGUGAUCCAUAUUGAGCUCAGCUGGAACAGACUGAAUGAGGUAGGUGCCACCCGCAGAGAUGAUGCCGGAAGCCAGUGGCAGGUGCCUUUAGUUUCUUGAUGGCCCUGAUCAGGUUGUCUUGGCUGAUAUCCUGUGUGAAUCUGCCCCUUCCUUUUGAACACCUGUUGUUGUAGUUUCUCCAGAGUUAUCACACCUCCAUCCCUGUGCUUCAGGGUCAGGCACACUUCAAUAAUCUGGACUCCCAGCUCAUAAUAGAAAUCUCCCACACCUACCA